rnacentral:rRNA from 1 species
GACGAAGGGGGCAAGCGUUGUUCGGAAUUACUGGGCGUAAAGCGAGUGUAGGUGGUUGUCAUAGUCAGGUGUGAAAGCCUUGAGCUCAACUCAAGAAAUGCACUUGAUACUGGGCAGCUAGAGGACCGGAGAGGAUAGUGGAAUUCCCAGUGUAGUGGUGAAAUACGUAGAGAUUGGGAAGAACACCAGUGGCGAAGGCGGCUAUCUGGACGGUUUCUGACACUAAGACUCGAAAGCGUGGGGAGCAAACAGG